CAGUGAGGGAGAUGUGCCCUGAGCCCAGGGAGGCAUCCCCAGCCCCUCGAGGCCUCGCCGCUGGUCUCAGCAGCCCCUGCCCGGCUGCUGCCUGCCCGCGCCGUGGGCGUCCAUGGCUGCUCCUGGACAGGGAGCUCAGCCAGUGCUGGUGCCGUGUGGGCUUUGCUGGAGGUACCACCCGGACAGAGCUUUGAAAACGCAAUUUCUUUAUUUGAACACGAACCAGGGGCUGCCCAACUUCAGCAUGAGCCGGGGAGCAGGGCCAGGGGGCUCGGGGGCAGGGGUUCUCGUUUUGGAGGUGCUGGGGUGCACCGCAGACGGGGAUGUAGCCAUGGCAGAGCACAUGGGGACAGGCGUGAAGAACUGUCACGAGGCAAGUUGUCGCUGCCUGUGCUCUUGGGCUGCUCUUCUGUAUCUGCACAGGAGCACCUGUGGAGAGAGGAGUGUCUGAGGCCCCAGGUGCCCGUGUCACACAGGGCCCCUCGUGCAGAGCAGGGCCCAGAGCUGGCGA
rnacentral:lncRNA from 12 species